CUGAGACCUGGGACUCACCCGGAUUUUCCCUCUUACUUGUAUCAUUGGAUCUCUGCUGAGACCACACGUCUCAUUCCAUGGGCUUUAACUUGACUGGAAUGUGUGUUUCAACUGUGAUAAUGCCUCACCUGAAUGGAAGAUGGAGAAAUGUAUUUGUGGGUGGGUGUGCAUAGAAGACCUCUGACUAAAUGCACCCCCACAGUGCAAAGGUAAGUCACAUCUGUUGGCUGGCACACUUAAGGCUCUGGCAUGCACUCCCUAGAAUUUUGUACAUUUGAGAUUUCAACCCUUGGGCUGAAAUGGGUUCCCCACCCCUAACCUAAGGUAUGCAGUUGCUCUGUGCGUGGACUAAUUGAGUUAGGGAGUCUUCUCUAGUGAAAUAACUCCAUGUGUGUACAGCCCUUUCAGUUGCUGACCAAAUGCAUGGUUGGUGAGUGAGUGGACUAGCCCAUGUGACCACAUCCCCUCACGAGUUCUUUCAGUGCGAAGUGGGUGUUACAUGAACUCUGUUAGGUGACUAUGGUAAGCAGCUUACAAUUUAUUUUUGAAUGUAUUUAUUUAUUUUAUUUAUCCAUUUAUAAUCUGAUAUAGAUAGAUGGAUAGAUGAUAGAUAGAUAGAUGAUAGAUAGAUAUGAAAGAUAGAUGAUAGACAGAUAGAUAGAUAGAUAGAUAGAUAGAUAGAUAGAGAUAGAUGAUAAAUGGUAUACAACAUAUAAGAAUAAGAUAAGAAAAGCAUGCACAAAACAUUAUUAAACACAUCAGUCAAUAUUGGGUCCACCACAUGCAAUCUGGCUAGUUUACUAAUGCAGUAGAUAUGUAAGUCCUAUUCAAAUGUUCCACCUCACUAUCCAUGAAUUAGGAACCACAUCUGUAGAGGAGAGUGUGCUUUUGUGCUUGUAGAAUCCCCUGGUGAUGUGAAACUCUGUGCACUCAGGGGCAAGCCUAUGUGCCUAGAACAAGCUCCCCAAAUGCAUGGCUGGUGGCAGACAGAGCCAGUGGACAUGAUCCCAUUAUUCCUCUCACACAGUGGUUAAUCACUCUAGUUUAGCACAUAUGUCCCCCUAAUUAUUUAAUAAAAGUCUACAUUGAUUCAGUAAAGAUCUCCUCGGAUGUAAUAAAAGUUUAUUUUGUCAUGCACACAGUUUUGUCUUUGCUCCCUGAAUUCAGUAUUCCUCGAAACUCAGCUUCAUAUGAAAUAAUUCAUGGAUUCACACAGAUUUUCCCAAAUCUACCACUUUAUCUUCUAAUCAUUAGAAACUGCAAUUUGACUGGAGAGUGGAAUGCAUGCC